GUGGGGUAGGGGAGGGUUUCAUACAGAUGCCAAGUCUCUGCUGGUCAAUGGUCCCUUAGUGGUCCUAAUUGGAUAUGUGCUCUGACUUACUGCCAGGACUGGAGCUGACAUGGCUGAAGGCUGACUUCUGAGACUCCCAUUGCUUUGCCUUCUGUUAAGAUACCUUUUAUUCAGAUCAGAUCUAGUCUGUGGAUAUCAACCUGGAGAACAAUUCAGGGAAAUCUUGCCAAGAGGGAAUCAAACAAAGGACUGGAAGGGACAAAAUCUGAAACAGUGCAGUGUGGGUUAACGCUUCAUUUGUGAACCUCUCAGCAUUAAUCAUUUUCAUCUGUAGCACAUGCUGCUGUUGCUCUCAGAGAAUUGAUGCUUGUCCAGUUGGCUCUUGUAUCUGUUAUACAAGAUGCCAGAUUUUCCUAAAAGCCAGGAUCAUUAAUGUUACUAAUCACUCAGUCUCAACUGACUUAAAUCAUGGGGCUUUGUCUGGGAUAUCUUUGUGUCCACACAGUUUCUCAUGGCUCCUGUUGAGUUUACACAGUUGAGUUUAUACUGCUGUACCCACUCCUUUUCCUAAGAAAGUAUUACCCUUAGGCUUCUGACACAUUUAAUUUUUUAGCUGGUGUGCUGCUUUAAUUGUCAUCAAAGCAGAUUUAUGUGAAUACUGCAGAAAAGUGGGAAUGGUGAGAAUGCUUGUUUCCACUUGUGAGUAAGCUGUCAACUAUUUUAUUGAUGAUCUUUAAUUUUCAGGGGUAAGAGAUGCUACCAUUUGUUCUGUGCUCAUGAAGCACUGGAGGCGUAACAGUGUUCAGGCUCCUGAAUUUGAAUGGUAGCUCUGGGUAUCUCUUGGACCUGAGCCACCAGAGCAGGAGAGAUGCCCCUAGGAGGAAACAGAAUUAGCAGAGUGAGCAUUCAACCAUUUUUCCUUCAUUUUAUGUACCAGGGAGAGUAAGAUCUGAGAGGCAGAGAGAAUAUGGGACCACAACUCAUUUCCAAAGCUCUUUCUCAGCGAGUGCUGCUGGCAGGGUAAUGUGGGCAGGGUCCAUGUCAGAGGAGAGAAAAGUGGAGCUAUGCCCUAAUCUAUUACCAGCACAUGAGACUAUGGCUCCUGCUCCUGGAGACUGUCACUCCUCUCAGUGCCUGGACCACAGUAAGAGUCCUUUUUGUACUACCCUGGCUCAGGCUAUGAUGCUAUUUUUAGCUACUGUUUAAGCUCUGCUACAUUAAUAUAUGCUCCUGCAGGGUACACAAUCUUGAAGGUAUCCAGAGCUGCAGAAUCAGUUGCUUUCAUUUAUUAUUUUCUUUGACUAAUGACUGUUAUGAUGAAGAUUUGUACUUUCUGUUUGAUUUUCCCUGGCAUUAGCUCCCAUCAAGUAAUUCAAGUUAUGCCUUUCCUUGCUAGGUGGAAGAGCACUACACAAAAUCAUUGUUUCUCUUCAGGGAGGUGCUUGUGCAUUGUAAUCACAUCACCCUCUGGUCUUCAUUUUUGCACUCACUAAACAGUGUACUCCUUAUCUCUUGCAGGAGCAAGGUGUGUUUUUUGUCUCCUGGACCACUGUGAGAAGUCUUUUCUGCAUGUUUUCCAAAUCUCUGCAAAGGAACAUGUCUUCCUAAGAAAGUGGGCUCCAUUACAUUCAGGAACAGAAUGAGAAUGAAACUCAUCAUUAGUCUGAUUGAUUCAGCAUCUGAAUACACUGUACCAUGAGGAUCCUCUUAUCCUGAGCAGAAGUCUGUCAAAGUCAAUUCCAACAACUGAUGAGGCCGUUCAGAUACCACUUGGAAAAAGAGGAUGAAUGCCAGCAGGCUGUUAACAAAGCAGCAGGUUUGCAGCAUGCUGCUCAAGGAAGACAGGAAGAGUAGGUGUUUGCCUGAAAUCCCAUCAUGGCAACUUCUGCAUUUGAUGAGUAUUACCAGCAUAGACAUGGGCACCGUGGAGGGAAUCCUGGCCACACAGAAAAAUGAAUGAUCAAAUGAGACUAUUAUCGACACAAAAACUGCCUGUCAUUCUGCUACUCCAUAUUAGUCACAGAACACACAUUUCAAAGCCAUGAUUUAAUAGAAAUACUUUAAACCUGACAACUUAUGAUGAUUCAACAAGAUGAGAAAAAGACAAGGGCUCAGUCUCCAAACCCUGGUCACUGGGUGAGCAUUUCAUAAGCCUGAGCAAACAGGAGAGAUCAUUACAAAGAAGUGCUUGAGUUGUUCUGCAUUGCUCUCAAUUAGGCAAGGUAGUCCAGACAACCACUACUCAGGCAUUACAGAGAAGGACAACAAUUUGAUUUCAAGAAGCACUACCUGUCUAAAAGAUCCUGUGAUUAGGAACUCCCACUCCUUUUGGAUGCAAAAUUCAGCACCCUGAAUUUCUGGGGUACAGUUGGACUUGCCAGAUUCUUUCAGGGUCCAGUUCACUACAGUGUCGUCACUGACUUGCUGACCAUCACUCAGGUCCUUGCAAGACAUUCAGCAUGUACCUGAACAGGGGCAGAGAAAACAAGAUUUGGCUCAGAUCCUGGGCUGAGGCACAGCAAGCACACAGCCUGGAGGGAAUGUGAACUCAUAGCAACGUGCAAAGUCUUCAUAUAGCCUCAGCCCUGCUUUUUGUUUUCUUUCUUUUUUUUCCUUUUUUUAUUUUAUUGUUCACCCCUUCAGUGAAAUGGAAGAGCCAUCUAUUGUAACUGUGGCACAAUUUCUGUUAAACUGUUUAACCUCUAAUUCUUAUUUCAUAUUCAGACAUCACUAAUGGACUGGAAAUUAUUCAGCUUGCAAAUACCCAGUUAAAAUAGAAAUAAAAACCCUGCUUUCCAUGUUUCUCCUUGCUUGGUGGGAUUACACUGGUUGUGCAAAUGCAGCACAUGAAAAACACUGCCUGGUGGAUGAACUAGGUGAUACUCUAGGUUACAUACACUUAUUACUUUGCACAAGAAACUGGGUGAAUAUACCACACAGGUAUUAGGCAGAGAGAAUGGUGCUGAAUCCUCUUGUUGAAGGAAAUAUUGGAUGACUUCAGCUCAGAAGAGUUUUCUUCCCAUGGCUGUAAGAGUGAACUAGAAAGAGCCACAGUAAAUCUUUCUCUGGGGAACGAAUGGGAAACUGUACUACAGAAAGUAGAGUAUGGAGAGAGAAAAGCAAACCCUUAUGACCUUAAGAACAUAAUAAAGAUGGUCAGGCCAGAGGAAGUCUGGGCAAAAAUGAGGGACUGUGGAAGUUGCCUGUCAUCGUGACUAGUGGGAAGUAGAACAUGCACGAAGAAGAUGAGACAAUAGCUGGAAAUAUGUAGACACUGCUAAGACUAACCUUGAGCCACAUCCUUAUUUAGGGGCUAACAACAAUUUAUGUUUAAUAUUGUAGUCCAAUAGCAAUGUUUUCCCUUAUCUUAGAGAAUCUGUUGUUCAUUUGUUUGAAUGUAUGUAAGCAUACAAACCUAAAGAUAGGAUAGGGUUUAGCCUUGAGGUUUCCUCACAAGCAUAUGCUCUCAACAAGCAGCAAAUGCUAAAGCUAAAUGUGUUUCAGUCUGCUUUGACACUUACCACAUGAUUCUUCUAGCAUGUUCCAGUCAUCAAACAACAUAUACAACCUUCAGUCGUCUACUAAGCAACCUACUAAGGAGUAAUUUCAACAAGAACAUAAAUUCAGUGAAAAUAUAAAUACAUGUUCAACUGUUGCUAGAUGAAAUGGUGGGUCGUGAGAAGAAAGGGCAUUUCCAUUCUUCAAACCCUACAGGGUGAGCGUAUUUUCACUUUGCAAGUGCUUUCUAUUCGACAUGUAUGUGAUACAUGAGAAGCCUGAGAUGUACUGUACUUGGGUAUACAGAGCUAAAAAGAAACACCCCUCAGUUGUGAGUUGUAUGUAGCUAUGAACUAAUAUCUUUUUUUCUUCUUUUUUUUCCUGCUGUGUUAUGUGCUGUUAAAUAAAACACUGACUCCCUCCUUAGGGUCAGUCAGGCUCCUGUUGUGUUCUGAACUCUCUACUGACUUAAAUUUUGAGUUCCUCUGACUUAAUCUGAAUUUCACUCAAGAUAUAUUACAAAAAAGUGUUUUUGUCUUCUCUGAGUAUGUGGAGAAAUGUAACAAUACCAAGAGUCAUUUUGGUAUCCAGAACAGUGUAACAGUGGUGUCUAACAGGCAGAGCUGUACAUAAGCAUCGGUGCUCAAAAUCUUGCCAAGAAUUUAGUUUUCUAGAUAGCAGUCUAAUAUUAGCCAACACAAAACUUGACAGUGGAAA